AAUCUUUUGAUAAUAUUGCCCAAUGCAACAAAUGGAAAAAGCAUGCUUUAUGACAACCUCAGCAGCAGAACCCAUGACUUUCUCCUGGGUAGACGAGACAAAAAAGUUUGGUAUCAACACCCAUCUAACAAUUAAGAAAGUUAUCUGCAGCCACACAUCCACUGUAUACCAAGUUAUGAUGAACAAUUAUGAAAAUGCAAAAGGAUUGAUAGAUCAGUAAACAAGCAACAAAAAGCUUUACAAAAAAUGUAGAAUUUGUAGGAGCGCAUGGACAUCUGAGUAACAAAGUCAUAUUAUGCAGAUGGGUGCUCAUGGUGGCCUCCAAAUAAAUACAUGGACAGGCUGCUAAAGAGGGUCAGGAUGAUGGAGAUGCAAGAGCCAAAGACAGCACAGAAACACCAGGCCAGAAUUCUGCAUGAGUCAGAUUGAGUAAUUUUCACUCUAGAGACCCUUGGGUGACCACCAAGGACGAAUGCAAACUCCAGUGAGUGUCUCUAAGGUAGAUCCUAAUGCAGAUGGAUGGAAUGUUGAUCCGCCUAACAUGCAAGGUAAAAGAGCAUUUGAUAGCAUAGUGGAUAAACAAAGCUUUUUUCAUUUUCAGAGCAUUUUCAAAAACAACAUAACACUUGCUAUUACAUUGUUAUAUAUUACAUGACCAUGUCUAACUCUGAUCCAUACAAAACAGAUUUUCUGUACCGAGAACUUUGGAUGACCACGUUUUCAAAAAUCUGACCUCAAUUUUAGUAACCAUUUAGAUAUUUUAGAUGUAGUCCGAGAGCUUGCUGACCCUCCAUUAAAAAUGUAUGUACGGUAUACUGUUCAUGUCCAGAAAGGUAAUAAAAACAUCAUCAAAAUAGUUCUUGUGACAUCAGUGGGUCAGUUAGAAUUUGUUGAAGCGGCAAAAAUACAUUUAGGUCCAAAAAUUACGACUUUAUUCGGCAUUGUCUUCUCUUCUGGGUCUGUUGUGAACCGUGUGCAUGACACUGCUUCCGUACGAUGCUGUUGGCUUGUUAUCUGGUGCACCCAAGCUUUUUUUUCCGUUUACAGUCUGAGAGAGACGCUGUAAACAAAACAAUCUUCGCAAACAUGUCUAAGGAUAACACGUCAGCAGCGUCGUACGUCAGCAGCGCCACUGUGCACGCGCAUUCGCAACAGGCCCGGAAGAGAAGACAAUGCUGAAUAA